UGGUGGUUUCUACUCCGGACUGACUCU
rnacentral:piRNA from 1 species